CUUGAGGGGAAAGUGGAUUUCCAAUAACAGUUCCUUUGAAUAAAAUUGUGGCCAUUGGUGUUGAAGUUGAGUUUAUAUAAUCUUUGAUGGAUAAACCAGCAGAGUAACUUACAUGCACAGCAGGUAGAACAUGAACAUCAGCAAUUGGAUUGAAAGCUUCAUCUUCACCAUUCAAAAGUAUCAUAGCAGCACCACCAGCAUCUUUAACUGCUUGACCUUUGGCUACUCUUUCAACCGAUCCAUCUUGCUCACACACUACUACCUUUCCCUUAACAUCAACAUUCUCCAUGGAAAAAGGAUUACAAAAGGCAAUGAAAUCAUCACUUGUGUUAAUUGCACCUGCAUACACAAGUGGCAAUAAUGUUGAUGCAAAGUCUUUUGGUUGGAAAACUGAUUCUCCGAGAUAUUCCGUCCCAUCCCCAAGCUUAGCUACUGCCUCUAUUUUUCUGUCAAUUGUGCUGGCACCAACAGUUAAAAUCCAUGGUGCUUCAUUAGCCAAUGUACCAUGAAAAGGACCUGAAUUUCCAGCAGAACAACUAACAAAAAUUCCCUUUUGAAUUGCACUAAAUGCACCAAGUGCAAUUCCACUUUCAAAGAAAGAAGUAGAGGGUUGUCCAAGGGAGAGAGAAAGAACAUCAACACCAUCAUCAACAGCAACAUCCAUUCCAGCUAAUAUGACACUUUCAGCACAACCAAAGACGCCGCAUACUUUGUAAAUUGCCAAGUGUGCAUAUGGUGCCAUGCCAAUUGCAGUACCAUUGGCAUUACCAAAGACAUUAGCACCUUUCACGGGCCUUCCAGCGGCCGUGCUGGCCGUGUGAGUUCCGUGGCCAACAUAAUCGUAUGGAAGGGAUGAAUUUACGAUGUUCCUUGCUCCAAUGAUCUUCUUGUUACAAAUCCUCUCCCCUGUGAAUUCACAAUGGCCAUUCCAUUUUGCAGGUGGAGAAGGCAUUCCCUCAUCGGAAAAGGAAGGAUGUGAGAGGGUUAUUCCUGUGUCCAGCAUUCCAAUUAUGAUCCCUUUACCUUGAUUGGAAUUUCCCCACAAUUCUUGAUUCUGUUGCAACCCCAAGAAGCUUGGAGUGUGAGUUGUGUGUAAUGAGAAAAUCUUUUCUGGUCGAAUUGACAGAACCUCCUCAUUCUCUUCUAGAACCUUGGCUUCUUCCGGGGUCAAUUUCACGGCAAAUCCAGCCACAAUGUUUCUGUAUGAGAAAAUAAUACGCUGCUGGUUUUGAGUUUCUGUAGUGGCUUGUGGCAAGAGUGAAUGGUACCAACCAUGCAAACUCUCCUUAGAUUGAAGAGAAGGCUUAUUGACAUGAACAAUGUAAGUCAAUAAGCUACUUUCAUCUUCUAGUCCUUCAUUUGUAGCUGUGAAUUCUUGGUAUUUAUGUGCUGAAGUUGUAUAGAUACUUAGCACAAGAAUGAAACCAAUAAGCAAUAUUGGAGUUAGUUCCAUCUUGGUUAAGGUCAUGUUUGGGAAAGAUACAUGAAAAUCUCUUGCAGUUAAGUUAUAUAGUGUGGAGGGAAAAUGAUUGACAUGGGUGUUAACGAUAACACAGCUAGCAUAGCAUCUUACUUGUUAAAAAUUUCAAGAUAUAUAAAUUAAGGUACUUUGCAUGGUGAAGUACGCUGUUCACAAACGGUGGCGUUAUUAGACACUAUUCACAUACAUAGGAUACGAUGGCAUGUGCUCCUGCUUAAAUUUUGAUUUGCAUGCAUGUGUCGUUUAUAGAUUUAGCAUCAAGUCUUGCCUAUGCAUUUCAAUGCAUUUUCUUCUGUUUUUUGGACAAAAAAUAUAUGCCUUUUCUAAUACAAAAUUCUUUCCUUGUAUAUAUAUAAGCCCAAAAUUAAAUUCAUUCCUCUUGAAGCACUGUUUGGAUUGUUACAAUUGGGUCAGCGUUAUCCGUAUCUUUCUUGAACUACAAAGGUGAAAAUUAUAAAGUAUUAGCUACAACCUCAUUGCAUAAAGUAUACUUUAAUUUUUAUCAUAUUCUUACUUACAAUUAUGAAACCAGCUAGUGGCAUAAUAUUAUUGGAAUUUAAUUCAUAUGCACUUAGACUUUUCUCUGUCUUUGAAUUUUGGCAUCGGGUUAUUGGUGGGUCGAGGUUUUGGUCAGGUUAAUUAAGGUGUAUGCUCUGGUGGCUCGUGAGUUGAGGGGUGCCUUUUUAACUUGUGUCAGAGUCUUGUGGACCAAUCGUUUUUGAUUCGAGGUCGGGAGCAAGUUUGUGACUUAGAUUCUUUUAGGCUGUUGUGAUGUCUCCUCCGAUAUACUAGAACUUGAGUGGUGGUCAAAGCUGAACGUUGGAGCAAAAUCUUUUCCGAGUGCCUUUUUGAUCACUAUUGACGGUGUUGGUUCUUUGAGGAGUUGUUGUUAGGGGAUUAGCAUUUUGGGGCUGGUGGUGGUGUUGCUCUAGGGAUUUUUUAGUGUUUUUAUUUUCUCUUAUGGUGUAAUACUUGGAAUUUAAUCCUCUUAUAUAUAUAAUAUAUUUUUCCAUUCAAAAAAAAAAAAUUUCAUAUGCACUUAGAAUAUAAAAAAUACCUUUUCAAAAAUAAAAAAAUUCCGAAAAUUAGAAAGACAGAAAAGAAAAGAGUUGACCAAAAAAGUUUUUUUUUUUUUUCGAAAUAAAAAAAUAUGGAAAUUAAUUUUCGAAAAUUACAAAAAAUAAAUUCAAAAUUUAAUUUUUGAAAAUCAAAAUUAAUCUUUUUUGAAAAUUUUUAAUUUAAUUUAAUUUAUUUUUAAAAUUUUGGAAAAAUUAAUUUCCCUAUUUUUAAAUGUUUUAUUUUAAUUUCAAAAAUAUAUUUUUUCUUUUUAAAAAAAGGUUUUUAAAUAAUUAAACUAAAAUAAUUAGCAUGUGGCUGCCAACUGUGCAAAGUUACACAGUCAGCGAAUGCCACGUAGGCAUAAAUGUGCCAAAUCAACAAUAAAGUGGGGCCAAUGACUAUUUUAAAAAACAAAAAAAUUUGUUGGGAUUGAUUUCAAUUUUUUUUUACCAGGGACCAAAACCCAAACUCAUCAUAUUUGCAGGGAUCAAAAGCAUAUUUUAGUCUAUAAUCUAAACAAAUUAUCGAAUUAUAUAAUCCAAAAAUAUUUCGGUUAGGAUUAUGUAAGCAGUGACAUACAUUUUUCCCAUCCUGCAACCCUCUGUUACAAGCUUUUUUGAAUUUUGAUGUUUGAAAUAUGUUGUUAAAACUGGAAUUCCUUUUUCUCAUUUAGCGCAACUUGUGCUAACGAGACAUACACAAUAUACCCAAGACCGUUUAAAUGAAAUGACAAGGUUUCUCGCUCAACCAAAAAUCUAGAUUCUCAGGUUUAAACACGAGAUUGAACAUGCAACUACAUUAAAACUCAUAGGGAGAAUUUGCUGCCUAUUUAAAUCCUACAAGGCUUAGAGGAAACUAAGCCGUCUUAACCUUUCCUACUGCGAAACUCCAAAUUAUAAGUUGUGAAGUCGGUGUUUCAACAGCCAUGAAGCUUUUUGCAGAAGUUUAGAGAAGAAUGGAGCAACUCUCAUCAGAGGAUGCAUCGGUCAUAUCAUAUGCCUUGAAUUAACUUAUCCUAACGUGGUAUAUUUUGUUGGUUAACUUUUGGUAUGUCUUGCGUCGUUAUCACCUGUAUAAGGUACCUUUUUCAAUAUGCAACUGCAAAAUGAAGGUUAAUUAUAACUUGCACUGCAGUUUAUCUCAAAUUAGGAAUUGUUAUUGUAACUCAUUAUUGCGAUUCAAUUGCAUAGUUUAUUUGAGGCAUAUUUAAAUGUUAUAUAAAAAAUUUGAUUUAGUUUAACCACAAUUCAACUUGCGUGUAUAUUGUUCUAAUUUUCUAUUGAAAACUGUCAGCAUAUUUGCAAAGUUUGAUUUUAUCAUUUUAUGAAUUACAGAUUCAAGUGUCUUUCAUUUAAUUAAUUGUAUGAAAUUGUUGAGGCGUAAAUGAUAUUGAAACUUGCAUUUUGUUCCGUAUCUUCUAUGUUCUGCCAUGCUGCCAUGUUUCUGUAGAAGAAACUAAUAGAAACCAACCUUUUUAAAACAAGUAUAUGUGCUUUUUUAGUAGACAAGAAGACGAAAAUUACUAUGCAAGAUUUAUAUCUCGUAAUUUUUGUUGAGAAUACAUAGAUCUUGAAUAUUUUGUUAAUAUGUGUAAGAAGCAAAAUUUGUAAAUUUUUGCCGUAUUUGUUAUAUUUCUAUUGUUCUCUUCCUCUUCAAGGCAUCAUGAAAUUCUUUGAGAAAUUAGACGCUAAUCAGAGUAUUAGAAAUUAAAAUUGGCUUAUAUAUGACUUUUCUCGGGGUGAAUUGUAUCUCACAUUUAAGUUUCACUGAGUAAGGUAUAAGGCUGCAUACAGGAGCUGGAAGCUCAGUUGGUUAGAGCAAAGGACUGAAAAUCCUUCGUGAUUCCACAAAAUGAAAAGUAGUUUAAGAUCUUGUUCAGUGAAACAAAAAAGGGUCCCAUCGGCACACGAAAGUUGUGCAAGGGAAGCAACUUGUCAUAAAUUUCGAUUCCCAUCAAUCAUGAUGAUUCCACAUUCAGCAUUCAAGACAUCAAUGAUUGUUCAAUCGAGAUUAGACGGUAAAACAAAAUUUAGAUUUUCCAGCCGUCUAAUCUUGAUCAAACACUCAAUGAUGUUCAAAAUGAUGUCUCUACCAUCAUGGUUGGACUUGGAUGUCAUUUUUGUUGAUACCAUUAGAAUUGUCGAUGCAAAAUAUAUCUAAUGAGGAAAAGAUAGUGACUUAUUGGGGAAAUCACCAUUUUACAUUGUUGUCUAUUAUAAAAUGUGCACAAUAUAGUCAUUUACGAAAACAAGUGGUACAUGCAAAAUAAUAAUCUAAGUUAAAAAACUCCAUUGUUAAAUAGCUUUUAACUUGAAGCAAGAAUAUAUAUUAUACUUCGGAAACAUGCUAUGUAUAGAGGAAUAUUGAAACAAGAAAAUUGGUAACCCAGUUUAAUGUAUUUUUUUUCUUCUUCUAAUGCACCCUUUAUUAUUUGAUAAAAUUCAUAUUACUAUCAUUUGAAAGAAGAUUAUGAAAUAAGAUUACUUAAGACUCAUAAUUUCAUAAGAGAAAUGGACUUAAAAUUAACGUCUAAGAAAUUAAAUAAGCUCCAAGUUUCAAACACAUGUUUGCAAACUUUUUAGUUCCUAUAUUUAUUCCUUAAUAAAAAGUCAUGCUAUAAUUAAUUUACCGUGCCAACAUACUCAAAGACAACAGCAAUAGGAAUGCUAACAGAAUACUUUGCAGAAACCCAUUUGAUAGAGCCUUGAGCAAUAAAGUUAUCACCUCUAUUCUCUUUAUCUUCAGGUAUAAAAUCAACCCAAUAUGUUACCUUUUGCUUCAUCUCAGUGAAUGUUAUUUGUGAUGGCCUUACACUCAUACCUACUGCCAAAGGAACAUCAAUUACCACAUUGUAAGUUGUGUUGACAGGUCCAACAUUUGUCAAUGUUCUACUAUAAAACUGUGAAGUAUUCCCCAACCGAAUCGAAAUCGAUGGAUAAUUAAGCUGUGCUUGUGGUAUGCUCUUUACAUCAGAGCAUUUCACUUUUUGUUGCAAAAUAACUCCAACUUGUCUAUCAGUAUAAUUCAAACCACACAAAUAAGGAACAUAAUCAUUUGUUUCAAUAUCAUAAACAAGUCCCGGAUCAUUUGCUUUUGAAGGGUUGACAUGUCCAGCACCAGUGGCAAAUACAUCAGCUGGUAGAAUUCUUUGGUCCAAAAUAGGCUUACCUUGAAGAUUAACCUGAUUAGCAGUUGUCAUGAUUGCGGAUUUUAUAGCAGCUGGAGACCAAUCUGGAUGAGAGUUUUUCAACAAAGCAGCAAUGCCACUAAGAUGAGGACAUGACAUUGAGGUACCUGAAAUUAUGUUAAACGAUGAUGUACUAUUGUCUAAUGAUAUAGGCCAUCCCGCAAGAAUGUUCAAUCCAGGCCCAAGUAUGUCUGGUUUCAGAAUUCCAGGGCUUGCUUUGCUUGGACCUCUUGAUGAAAAUGAAGCAACUUGAGGGGCAUUGGGAUUUCCAAUGACAGUUCCUUUGAAUAAAAUUGUGGCCAUUGGUGUGGAAGUUGAAUUUAUAUAAUCUUGGAUGUUUAAACCAGCAGAGUAACUUACAUGCACAGCAGGUAGAACAUGAACAUCAGCAAUUGGAUUGAAAUCUUCACCUUCACUGUUCAAAAGUAUCAUAGCAGCACCACCGGCAUCUUUAACUGCUUGACCUUUGG
rnacentral:lncRNA from 1 species